rnacentral:rRNA from 1 species
UACGUAGGGUGCAAGCGUUAAUCGGAAUUACUGGGCGUAAAGCGUGCGCAGGCGGUUUUGUAAGACAGUGGUGAAAUCCCCGGGCUCAACCUGGGAACUGCCAUUGUGACUGCAAGGCUAGAGUGCGGCAGAGGGGGAUGGAUUCCGCGUGUAGCAGUGAAAUGCGUAGAUAUGCGGAGGAACACCGAUGGCGAAGGCAAUCCCCUGGGCCUGCACUGACGCUCAUGCACGAAAGCGUGGGGAGCAAA